UACGGGGGGGGCAAGCGUUGUUCGGAAUUAUUGGGCGUAAAGGGCUCGUAGGCGGUCUGUUGCGUCAGGAGUGAAAACUCGGGGCUUAACCCCGAGCCUGCUUCUGAUACGGGCAGACUAGAGGUAUGCAGGGGAGAACGGAAUUCCUGGUGUAGCGGUGAAAUGCGCAGAUAUCAGGAGGAACAUCGGUGGCGAAGGCGGCUUCCUGGACACUUACUGACGCUGAGACGCGAAAGCGUGGGGAGCAAACAGG
rnacentral:rRNA from 1 species